AGUGACACAUGUUCAACGGCCGCGGUACCCUGACCGUGCAAAGGUAGCAUAAUCACUUGUUCUCCAAAUAAGGACUUGUAUGAAUGGCCACACGAGGGGUUAACUGUCUCUUACUUUCAAUCAGUGAAAUUGACCUGUCCGUGAAGAGGCGGACAUAACCUAAUAAGACGAGAAGACCCUAUGGAGCUUCAAUUUAAUAAUACAAGCUAAAACCUUCCAAACCAACAGGCACUAACUAAUCGUAAAUGUAUUGUAAAUUUUGGUUGGGGUGACCUCGGAGUAUAAAACAACCUCCGAAAACAUGUACCAAGACCUCACUAGUCUAAGUAAAACACACCUUACUGACCCAAUAACUUGAUCAACGGACUAAGUUACCCUAGGGAUAACAGCGCAAUCCUAUUUUAGAGUCCAUAUCGACAAUAGGGUUUACGACCUCGAUGUUGGAUCAAGACAUCCUAAUGGUGCAGACGCUAUUAAGGGUUCGUUUG
rnacentral:rRNA from 1 species